rnacentral:rRNA from 1 species
UAGUAAUGGCAGGUCAGCAUACUGCCGUGAAUACGUUCCCGGGCCUUGUACACACCGCCCGUCACACCAUGAGAGUUGGGGAUACCCGAAGCCUGUGAGCCAACAAUAUGUUGAGGCAGCAGUCGAAGGUAGAAUCAAUGAUUGGGGUGAAGUCGUAACAAGGUACC